CGCACAACAAAGACCGGAUGCAACGCACCAAUUCGACAAUUUGACCUUUCACGUGUUGAAUUCGAUAAUUCCGUCGCCCUAUAUAUACCACAUGUGCCUCACCCGCACUUCACCGCAACUUCCCUUUUCGUCUGUCGACAGCAUUCAAUCUCAUUUCCUUUUUCAAGAAACAAUCCCAUAUCCUUUGAAUCCACUGCUUCUCGGAGUUUCCAUUAAUGUUCUCCGCCACCUUCCACACAUAGAAACCUAGUCUUCUCUAGCUAUUCAACUAUGUUCAGCUCAGACACCAUCUCCAGAGACUUCCUUCACUCCAAUGCCAAUCCCUCUCACCACACCAAUUUCAAGCAUGUCUCAGCUGAUGCCGAAUUCUCAAAGAGCAGAGAAUUCAUGCCCUCGGAUUUCUUCAACAAUCAGCAGCAGCACAGCUCCGGACUAGCUCGAUAUCGGUCGGCGCCGAGCUCGUUGUUCGCGGCCCUUCUGGAUUCCAACACCGAUAACAACAGCAGCAGCGGCGAUGAAUCAGACGCUUUCUUCUCGGCGCUGAUAGAGCGCGAUCUCAAUCCCAAGAGUAGUGAUCAUCAGAUUUCGAGCGGUAUGAAGCGGGAAGAUGGGGCCGAGGCGGACCCCCGACCCGCGCAAAACGGGUAUGAUGCGGUUACCGGAUCUUACUCUGUGGGGAUGGAGCAUCAUGUUGAUUUGAGGUUGAGGGAUGAAAAUGGGAAUAGGUCCAAUCUGCUUCGUCAAAGCAGCUCUCCUGCUGGAUUCUUCAAUGGUUUUGGUGUAAUGGGAGAGGCAGGAGACUACAGAGUUCCCAAUCCUGCAGAAGACAGUUCAUCAGUUGGUGGUUUGAGCAGUUCCAUGAACUUGACGUCGGCUGCAUCUUCAAGCUCGAGAUUCAUGCCUAGCAUACCCGAAACUGGAAAUCAGGACGCGUUCAGCCCUGAAAAUGGUCGUCUGAGAAACGAACCUACCUUCCAGCAUGAUUCCUGGAAUGAAACAUCCUUCAACAGUUUGAAAAGAAACAGAGAUGGUGAUUCGAAGAUGUUUUCCAAUUUUAAUGGAUUGGACAAUGAGAAUGGAGAAGCCAGGAAAAAGUCCUCUGGUUUAGUAUCGCAUUUUAGCUUGCCAAAGACAUCCACGGAGAUGGCUGCGGUUGAGAACUUCCUGCAGUUCCAACAAGAGACGACAGUUCCUUGUCAAGUUCGAGCAAAAAGGGGUUUCGCCACUCAUCCCCGAAGUAUUGCUGAAAGGAAUAGACGAACACGGAUUAGUAAGAACAUGAAGAAGUUGCAAGAUCUUUUCCCCAAUAUGGAUAAGCAAACGAACACGGCUGAUAUGUUGGACUUGGCAGUUGAUUACAUCAAAGAACUGAAGAAAGAAAUGCAGAUGCUCAACGACGCGAGAGCAAGAUGUGUUUGUUCAGGUACACCUCAACAAACAAGUCCUACCACGUAAUUGCUUCUGGCAAGACUAAAACCAAGUGCAGUAUAUGAGAAUAUUGUUCAGUCUUGAUUCACCCGUGACCUCACUGUCAAAGCCCAUUAAUGAAAUAGUCUUGAAAUUUUGUUGCACGAAAGGAUCAAGUGCCUAUUGGCCCUAUUCUUCAAUGUAUGCAUGUUGCAACUUCCCACCCUCCAGGAAGAGGGGGGGGGGGGGAGAAAGGAGGAAGGAUACUCCAUAUUGUAUUAUCUAAACUGCAGUAUACAUGGCUCAAAGUUGGCGGUGCACUUCUCCGGGAGCUGAAUGGCCAUUGCGCGAUCAACCCCAGAAAUGGGGGGUCCGUUGACAAGCACGCAGAGACAAGGUUGGCCGAGUGCUUUGAUGGAAGCGCAGCAGGCCUCGGUUGGCGGGAUGGGGCUGAAGGGAGCGACUGCUGACCUGCAUGGGAUGAGCUGAACCAGAGCCGAGAAGAAGGUGCUCCCGCAGGGAUGGCCUGUGCUUUCCUGCGCCAUCGCGACCACCACCACCGCCACCGCCAUCAACCAAGCCAGCUUCAUACUCGUAUUCAUUAUGGCUGCCUUUGUCUUUGGGAUCAUCUCUCUUGGCAUAUAUAACACUGCAGGGGAGGGAUGAUGCCUUCUGGUGCUUCUCUCCUAACUCCAUUUCACACUUCA